GAGAUCUGAUGGUUUUAUAAAGAGGAGUUCCCCUGCACAAGCUCCCUCUCUUGCCUGCCACCAUGUAAGAAGUCCCUUUGGUCUUCCUUUGUCUUCUGCCGUGAUUGUGAGGCCUCCCCAGCCAUGUGGAACUGUAUAAAAUAAUAAGAUGGCUGAUCCUGCAAAGAGGCGCGGUGACAUCAACAGUGACUCAGUCUCUAUGAUGGUAUUAGUAACUGGCAGCUGACUCUCCUAUUUAUCAUCAAGUUAUGUUCCAAAUAAGACUUUCAAGUCUGAGAAAAAUGACAAAUCCCUUCCAGGCAUGGUUCAAGUUAAAGCUGAAACUGUGUCUUCGUUUCAGCUCAAGAGAGGUUUUGAUUGUGUCGUGGCUUUUCCUUGUGUAUUGGUUGAGGAACUGUGCCUUGGAGGGGCGGGGAGUCUUGAGAAUGGGUCAACUGAUGGAGGGGGAGUGGAAGACAUUGGUUGCCCAAGAAAAUAUGUCAACAUCUGUCCAUCACUGCAACUCCGGCCUGAUUAUCAUUUUUUCUGCUUCUGUAAGCACCAAUGAGACAAUGCCACUGAACCACAUUCUUUGUUGCCUGCAGUAUUUCCCACCACUGCGCCACCUCUGAUAUGCUAAUGAGGAAGCCCAGGGUUUUGUGUGGCUGAAAAGCCUUUCAGGCACAAUCAGUGGGUCAACAAUCUCAACUCUGUACAGCGGCUCAGCCUGCUCUGUGAGAGGCUCCUCUUUCGGAGGGGUCCUUCCUCACACCUUUUCUGUGAGUGCGUCUGUGCUUAAGGAAGGGCAAUUAACCAUCUGGCUGCUUGUCCCCUGGAGAAAUUGACAGAACAUCAAACAGAAUAAACUCAUACCUUGAAAACUGCCAAGUGGCACAUGACUGUCCGGUUCACUGUGGGGAGAAGCCACUAACCAAUGGUCUGAAUCUAAA
rnacentral:lncRNA from 10 species